CUUACUGUCCCCUUUAAACUUCACGUCAGAUUCCUGAGCGGCUUGCACGUGUUCACUUAAGAGAAAGACAAGUAUCCAGCAGCAGCAGCAUGGUGAGGUUAAUUGUCAUCAAACUCUCUCUUUGGUAACGAUAGCAUUUGCAACUGCUAACAAAACAAGCAUGGUCGAGCCCAGGUCGCCGGCAGUUUUGGUGUUGGCAGGAAUGUAUUGGGUGUAGAGGAGGCAGCAGGAAGACAUCGGUGAGGAGGCAGCAGGAAGACAUCCGUGAGGAGGCAGCAGGAAGACAUCGGUGAGGAGGCAGCAGGAAGACAUCGGUUCACGGGACUCUCAGAGACCACCAGGAGACAACUCGAUGCAAUUGCAAGAGAGCUUUAUUACGAAAGCGAUCGAACUCGGGACCCAAUUUGUUAGGCUUUUAACCACUU